rnacentral:rRNA from 1 species
CAACAGCUCAAAUUUGAAAUCUGGCUCUCUAGGGCCCGAGUUGUAAUUUGUAGAGGAUGCUUUUGGCGCGGUGCCUUCCGAGUUCCCUGGAACGGGACGCCUUAGAGGGUGAGAGCCCCGUACGGUUGGACACCAAGCCUCUGUAAAGCUCCUUCGACGAGUCGAGUAGUUUGGGAAUGCUGCUCUAAAUGGGAGGUAAAUUUCUUCUAAAGCUAAAUAUUGGCCAGAGACCGAUAGCGCACAAGUAGAGUGAUCGAAAGAUGAAAAGCACUUUGAAAAGAGGGUUAAAUAGCACGUGAAAUUGUUGAAAGGGAAGCGUUUGCGACCAGACCUUUUCCUAGCGGAUCAUCCGGUGUUCUUCGCCGGUGCACUUCGCUAGGUCGAGGCCAGCAUCGGUUUCUGCAGGGGGAUAAAAGCCCAGGGAACGUAGCUCUUUCGGGAGUGUUAUAGCCCUCCGCAUAAUACCCUUGCGGGGACCGAGGACCGCGCUUUUUGCAAGGAUGCUGGCGUAAUGGUCGUCAACGACCCGUCUUGAAACACGGACCAAGGAGUCGAACAUUUGUGCGAGUGUUUGGGUGUUAAACCCUCACGCGUAAUGAAAGUGAACGGAGGUGAGAGCCCUUACGGGUGCAUCAUCGACCGAUCCUGAUGUCUUCGGAUGGAUUUGAGUAAGAGCAUAACUGUUCGGACCCGAAAGAUGGUGAACUAUGCGUGGAUAGGGUGAAGCCAGAGGAAACUCUGGUGGAGGCUCGCAGCGGUUCUGACGUGCAAAUCGAUCGUCAAAUCUGCGCAUGGG